UCCGGUUUGUCACCGGCGGUCUCCUUAGAGUUCCCACCAUUACGUGCUGGCAACUAAGGACAAGGGUUGCGCUCGUUGCGGGACUUAACCCAACAUCUCACGACACGAGCUGACGACAGCCAUGCAGCACCUGUCUUGGGACUCCGAAGGGGGGACUCGGUUUCUCGAGCCUUUCCCCAAGAUGUCAAGCCCAGGUAAGGUUCUUCGCGUUGCGUCGAAUUAAACCACAUGCCCCACCGCUUGUGCGGGCCCCCGUCAAUUCUUUUGAGUUUUAGCCUUGCGGCCGUACUCCCCAGGCGGAACACUUAUCGCGUUGGCUGCGGCACGGACAGAUUCGACUCCGCCCACACCUAGUGUUCAUCGUUUACGGCGUGGACUAC
rnacentral:misc_RNA from 1 species